rnacentral:rRNA from 1 species
UACAGAGGUCCCGAGCGUUGUUCGGAUUCACUGGGCGUAAAGGGUGCGUAGGUGGCUUGAAAAGUUUGAUGUGAAAGCUCAGGGCUUAACCCUGAAAUGGCAUUGAAUACUGUCGAGCUGGAGGUUUGGAGGGGGGACUGGAAUUCUUGGUGUAGCAGUGAAAUGCGUAGAUAUCAAGAGGAACACCAGUGGCGAAGGCGAGUCCCUGGACAACACCUGACACUGAGGCACGAAAGCUAGGGGAGCAAACAGG